ACACAGGAGAACUGAAUGGCCUCUCUGUCCAACAGUCUUUUUCUCAGUUCAAGUCAGGAACAUACAUAGAUGUCUAACAUUGUCUUCAUACCCUGUUUUGGCUGCACAGCAGGAUCUCCAGUGCUCUACAGUGAGGUGCAAAACAUCGUUGAAAACAUUUUUGUGAAACACCACUGCCCUGGCCAACACUCCACAAGGAGGCACAAAAGAAGUGAACCAGCACAGAAAAUAAUUACCCCCAUCUGCAGGAAUUGAUUAGACUGGCAGAGUACAAAGAAAAGUCUGUAAAACAGCAACAGCAGCAGCACCUGCUGUGCUGCUGUACAUCCCCACACAGGUAGGCUGGUACUUUCAGCAAGAACCAAGAGAAAAAUGACCCUUGGUUUCUCUGAUUGUUGCUAUAUAUGCCAGAGCAUCAGAGAGAGAAUAUAAUUUCUUUAAUAGAAUUUAAAUUGUUCAGAGUUUUGGAAGUGAUCCCUUGGUACUGGCUCUAGGAUUAAAGACAACAGUUAUCUGAUUUUUUUCUACAUAAACUUGUAUUUUAUCAAUUGAAUUUUCUCUAGAUUAAAGAUAAACUAUUACAGACCAGAAAAAAAAAUCUAAAACCAGAACAGAUUUUAACAUUAAAUUCCGAAGAAUUUUGUGGUUUUAAUACUGGUUGGUUGGUUUGUUAGACUAAAAAGAAGAUGGAUAACACUUCUGGGGAAAAGCAAUCACUGUUCUUGUCCUGAUCGUGCACAUUCAAAGCUACAACAAACCAUUUUACCUUUGCC